rnacentral:rRNA from 1 species
CGUAGGAGGCGAGCGUUAUCCGGAUUCACUGGGCGUAAAGCGCGUGCAGGCGGUUCGAUAAGUUGGAUAUGAAAUCUCCUGGCUUAACUGGGAGAGGUUAUUCAAUACUACCGGACUAGAGAGUGGUAGAGGAAGAUGGAAUUCCAGGUGUAGUGGUGAAAUGCGUAGAUAUCUGGAGGAGGCACCAGUGGCGAAAGCGAUCUUCUGGACCAUUUCUGACGCUCAGACGCGAAAGCUAGGGUAGUAAACGGGAUUAGAGACCCCGGUAAUCCUAGCCGUAAACGAUGUAAACUUGGUGUCGGUGGCUUUAACUCCUUCGGUACCGAAGCUAACGCGAUAAGUUUACCGCCUGGGGACUACGAUCGCAAGAUUA